rnacentral:rRNA from 1 species
AUGAUGGGAAUUUAAACCUCUUCCAGAGUAUCAAUUGGAGGGCAAGUCUGGUGCCAGCAGCCGCGGUAAUUCCAGCUCCAAUAGCGUAUAUUAAAAUUGUUGCAGUUAAAAAGCUCGUAGUUGAAUUUCUGCUGCAUUGCUUUUGCUCCUUUACGAGUCUUUGCAUUGUGGCUUAUUUCGGACUUUGUUUUACAAUGUCCGGAUGUUUACUUUGAGAAAAUUAGAGUGCUCAAAGCAGGCUUUCGCCUUGAAUAGUUUAGCAUGGAAUAAUAAAGUAGGACUUUGGUUCUAUUUUGUUGGUUUUAGGUACCAAAGUAAUGGUUAAUAGGAACAGUUGGGGGCAUUCGUAUUUAACUGUCAGAGGUGAAAUUCUUAGAUUUGUUAAAGACGAACUACUGCGAAAGCAUUUGCCAAGGAUGUUUUCAUUAAUCAAGAACGAA